rnacentral:rRNA from 1 species
CCGCCCUAUGGGUGCGCAACUGGCUCGGCUUCGGCAUCUUCUUGGAGAGCGCAUCUGCACUUAACUGUGUGGAUCGUACUUCAAGUCAGUUACUUUGAGGAAUUGUGAGUGUUUCAAGCAGGCUUACGCCGUUGAAUCCGUUAGCAUGGAAUAAUAGGAUAGGACCUCGGUUCUAUUUUGUUGGUUUUGAGAGCUGGGGCAGCGAUUGAUAGGGACGGAUGGGGGCGUCCGAACUUUACUGUCAGAGGUGAAAUUCUUAGAUCGGUCAAAGGCGAACUACUGCGAACGCAUUCGCCAAGAAUGUUUUCUUUAAUCAAGAACGAAAGUUAGGGGAUCGAAGACGAUCAGAUACCGUCCUAGUCUUAACCAUAAACGUUACUGACUAGAGAUUGGAGGUUGUGAUUCACAAACUCCAUCAGCACCUCUAUGUGUAAACAAAGUCUUUGAGUUCUGGGGGGAGUAUGGUCGCAAGACUGAAACUUAAAGGAAUUGACGGAAGGGCACCACCAGGAGUGGAACCUGCGGCUUAAUUUGACUCAACACGGGGAAACUUACCAGAUCAAGACAUAGUAAGGAUUGACAGAUUGAGAGUUCUCUCUCGAUUCUAUGGGUGGUGGUGCAUGGCCCGUUCUUAGUUGGUGGAGUGAUUUGUCUGGUUAAUUUCGUUAACGAACGAGACCUUAACUUGGUGAAUAGUGAAUCGUAACCUCGGUUACGUUGGAAUCUUCUUA